rnacentral:rRNA from 1 species
AUUGAACGCUGGCGGCAUGGCUAAAACAUGCAAGUCGAACGCCUGUAGCAAUACAGGAGUGGCGAAAGGGCGAGGAAUAGAUUCCUACAUACCCCAUAGUCAGGGAUACCCCGGAGAAAUCCGGAUCAAUACCUGAUGAGGUCGAGAGAUCAAAGAUUUAUCGCUAUGGGAGUGGGGAAUCUCCUAUCAGGUAGUUGGUGAGGUAAUGGCUCACCAAGCCUAAGACGGGUAGCGGGUGUGAGAGCACGGCCCGCCGCAUCGAGACUGAGACACUGCUCGGACUCCUACGGGAGGCUGCAGUAACGAAUCUUCCGCAAUGCGCGAAAGCGUGACGGGGCAAUGCCGCGUGCAGGAUGAAGCCCUUCGGGGUGUAAACUGCUGUCAGGGUGCAGGAAAGAAAUGACCAUACCCAAAGGAAGCACCGGCUAACUCUGUG